rnacentral:lncRNA from 1 species
UUGACAUUAGUGUUUGAUGGAGAGGAACUGAUUUUGUGUUUAGACAAGAGUAAAGCCAGUGAAAUCUACCCCUGCAAAUUCAUUCCAUACCAUUUUUUACCUUUCCCCUCUUCUAAGUGCCUCUAGCUAUCAAGUUUCAUACUUUAAUUCUUUAUCAAUUUAUUUAUUUGCACGUAAUCUCCUAUUCUUUAGUCUAGAUAAGUUACCGAUCAUCUAACACAACCCCAAUGAGAAGUUGCUACAUGACAUCAUCAUAUCUCUCUUAAUCUUUAUAGCAACAAAAAUGUCAUGUCUUAUAUCCUUAACUCAAAAGACUGACCAUCAAAGCAUGACAUAUCAUCUCCAUAUUCUCCCCUCUCACCAGCCACACUUCUUUCACCGCCAAGGUUACUAGCGACAAUGCAAAUCGGAGGUGAAGUUUCCAUCAAUGUGGGUUUCUCCUUCAUCUCUUGAAUCAUGACACCACACAUCUCUCCCCCAAGGUCCUGACGUGUAGCAUCUUCCCUCCAGACAAGGACGUUCAUGCAUUGCCAUCGACUACCACCACUAUUAGCGAUCAAUGUCAAGAAUCCAAAUCCAGAC